CCUACGGGGUGCAGCAGUGGGGAAUAUUGCACAAUGGGCGCAAGCCUGAUGCAGCCAUGCCGCGUGAGUGAAGAAGGCCUUCGGGUUGUAAAGCACUUUCAGCGGGGAGGAAGGCGGUGAGGUUAAUAACAUCACCGCUUGCCGUCACCCGCCGAAGAACCACCGGCUAACUCCGUGCCAGCAGCCGCGGUAAUACGGCGGGGGCAAGCGUUAGUCGGAAUUACUGGGCGUAAAGCGAACGCAGGCGGUCUGGCAAGUCUGAUGUGAAAUGCCGGGGCUCAACCGGGGAACUGCAUUCGAAACUGUCAGGCUAGAGUCUUGGAGAGGGGGGUAGAAUUCCAAGUGUAGCGGUGAAAUGCGUAGAGAUCAGGAGGAAUACCAGUGGCGAAGGCGGCCCCCUGGACAAAGACUGACGUUCAGGUGCGAAAGCGUGGGGAGCAAACAGGAUUAGAUACCCUAGUAGUC
rnacentral:rRNA from 1 species